rnacentral:rRNA from 1 species
AGUGGCGAACGGGUGAGUAACACGUGGGUGAUCUGCCCUGCACUCUGGGAUAAGCCUGGGAAACUGGGUCUAAUACCGGAUACACCCUUCUGGUUGCAUGGCUGGGAGGGGAAAGCUUUUGCGGUGUGGGAUGGGCCCGCGGCCUAUCAGCUUGUUGGUGGGGUGAUGGCCUACCAAGGCGACGACGGGUAGCCGGCCUGAGAGGGUGUCCGGCCACACUGGGACUGAGAUACGGCCCAGACUCCUACGGGAGGCAGCAGUGGGGAAUAUUGCACAAUGGGCGCAAGCCUGAUGCAGCGACGCCGCGUGGGGGAUGACGGCCUUCGGGUUGUAAACCCCUUUCAGUAGGGACGAAGCGUGAGUGACGGUACCUACAGAAGAAGCACCGGCCAACUACGUGCCAGCAGCCGCGGUAAUACGUAGGGUGCGAGCGUUGUCCGGAAUUACUGGGCGUAAAGAGCUCGUAGGUGGUUUGUCGCGUUGUUCGUGAAAACUCACAGCUUAACUGUGGGCGUGCGGGCGAUACGGGCAGACUAGAGUACUGCAGGGGAGACUGGAAUUCCUGGUGUAGCGGUGGAAUGCGCAGAUAUCAGGAGGAACACCGGUGGCGAAGGCGGGUCUCUGGGCAGUAACUGACGCUGAGGAGCGAAAGCGUGGGGAGCGAACAGGAUUAGAUACCCUGGUAGUCCACGCCGUAAACGGUGGGUACUAGGUGUGGGUUUCCUUCCUUGGGAUCCGUGCCGUAGCUAACGCAUUAAGUACCCCGCCUGGGGAGUACGGCCGCAAGGCUAAAACUCAAAGGAAUUGACGGGGGCCCGCACAAGCGGCGGAGCAUGUGGAUUAAUUCGAUGCAACGCGAAGAACCUUACCUGGGU